rnacentral:tRNA from 1 species
GCAGUCGUGGUCGAGUGGUUAAGGCGAUGGGCUAGAAAUCCAUUGGGGUCUCCUCCCCGCACAGGUUCGAAUCCUGUCGACUGCG